rnacentral:rRNA from 1 species
AGCUCCAAUAGCGUAUAUUAAAGUUGCUGCAGUUAAAAAGCUCGUAGUUGCAUUUCCGAGGCAAGGGAUUAGUCCGACCUUUGGUGGGAAUUUAAUCCUCUUGCCUCGUCCUUGAGUGGUGCUUAUUGGUAUUAAGUUAUCGAGGAGAUAGCCGCUCAUCGUUUACUGUGAGAAAAUUAGAGUGUUCAAAGCAGGCUUAUGCCGUUGAAUAUAUUAGCAUGGAAUAAUAAGAUAGGACCUCGGUACUAUUUUGUUGGUUUGAGAACCAAGGUAAUGAUGAAUAGGGACAGUUGGGGGUAUUCGUAUUCAGUUGUCAGAGGUGAAAUUCUUAGAUUUACGGAAGACGAACUACUGCGAAAGCAUUUACCAAGGAUGUUUUCA